GCGUCAGUGGUUUAGUGGUAAAAUCCAUCGUUGCCAUCGAUGGGCCCCGCGUUCGAUUCGCGGCUGAGGCA
rnacentral:tRNA from 1 species